rnacentral:rRNA from 1 species
UGGGGAAUAUUGGACAAUGGGGGCAACCCUGAUCCAGCCAUGCCGCGUGUGUGAAGAAGGCCUUUUGGUUGUAAAGCACUUUAAGCAGUGAAGAAGACUCCAUGGUUAAUACCCAUGGACGACGACAUUAGCUGCAGAAUAAGCACCGGCUAACUCUGUGCCAGCAGCCGCGGUAAUACAGAGGGUGCGAGCGUUAAUCGGAAUUACUGGGCGUAAAGCGAGCGUAGGUGGCUUGAUAAGUCAGAUGUGAAAGCCCCGGGCUUAACCUGGGAACGGCAUCUGAUACUGUUAGGCUAGAGUAGGUGAGAGGAAGGUAGAAUUCCAGGUGUAGCGGUGAAAUGCGUAGAGAUCUGGAGGAAUACCGAUGGCGAAGGCAGCCUUCUGGCAUCAUACUGACACUGAGGUUCGAAAGCGUGGGUAGCAAACA